UACGAAGGGGGCUAGCGUUGCUCGGAAUUACUGGGCGUAAAGGGAGCGUAGGCGGGUUAUCAAGUUGGAGGGGAAAGCCCAGGGCUCAACCUUGGAAUUGCCUUCAAAACUGAUAGCCUAGAGUAUGAUAGAGGUAUGUGGAACUCCGAGUGUAGAGGUGAAAUUCGUAGAUAUUCGGAAGAACACCAGUGGCGAAGGCGACAUACUGGGUCAUGACUGACGCUGAGGCUCGAAAGCGUGGGGAGCAAACAGG
rnacentral:rRNA from 1 species